rnacentral:rRNA from 1 species
CCUACGGGUGGCAGCAGUGGGGAAUAUUGCACAAUGGGGGAAACCCUGAUGCAGCGACGCCGCGUGAGUGAAGAAGUAUUUCGGUAUGUAAAGCUCUAUCAGCAGGGAAGAAAAUGACGGUACCUGACUAAGAAGCCCCGGCUAACUACGUGCCAGCAGCCGCGGUAAUACGGAGGGGGCAAGCGUUAUCCGGAUUUACUGGGUGGAAAGGGAGCGUAGACGGCAGCACAAGUCUGGAGUGAAAGGCCGGGGCUUAACCCCGGAACUGCUUUGGAAACUGGGCAGCUAGAGUGCAGGAGAGGUAAGUGGAAUUCCUAGUGUAGCGGUGAAAUGCGUAGAUAUUAGGAGGAACACCAGUGGCGAAGGCGGCUUACUGGACUGUAACUGACGUUGAGGCUCGAAAGCGUGGGGAGCAAACAGGAUUAGAUACCCCGGUAGUC